UAGCUGUAGUCUAGUUGGUUAGGAUAUUAGUUUAUAAUUUAAGAGACUUAGGUUUGAAUCCUAAUAUCAACUAA
rnacentral:tRNA from 1 species